AAAUCCCCGCAAACAAGUGCACAUAUUUUCAAGUGUUCCUGAUGUAUAAAGAAUUGUGAAGUGAUAAGGUGAUCAGAAGUCAAUUCCAAUAGAGAACUACCUUUCAAACUAACUGGUCUUCUUUAUUAAAACAAACAAGAUGAAAAGGGCACCAAAGGACACUGCAUGAUUUUUAACAAUGCACAAGCUGAAACCACUUAGAUACCACUAAGGUUCAUACAAUCCUUUUCAUUUCAUUUUACAGUCUUUUUCAAACAGAUGAUUUCCUGGAUGAGAAUCCUGCCUUCCAUAUUUUAAUCUGCUGAUAAGCCCCUCCCAACUAAUGUGACUAUAUAGCAGAUGCACAUGUGCGUACUUAAAUAAAUGCAAACAAGAAAUAAAACUUUUCACCUUUACAUCUGAGGUCACCAGUGACCACUAGCAACACAGUAAAAAUCAGAACCUUAAUCAAAAACCUAACAUGGGAUUUAAUUUCCUCAUGUAAGGUCUUUGUCAUUUUUCUUCUCUGCCCAUUACACAGUAUGUCUUUGCUCCUAUAAUUACAUAAUUAACAUCCUCAGCACCUAUUUCAUCCCUUGUUAAUUUUGCUAAAUAUAAAAACAGACAUGCUCAAGGAAACAAUCUUGGCAGGUGAAGAAGCAUAAACAAUUUAAAAGGGAAAAAAUAAAUCUAUUCAUAUCCUGAUAAUUGGUAUGUAUAACUGAGCACUACUAGGUGCUUGUAAUCCACAUGAUGGCCUUCUGACUAGAAGUGCACAUGCAAGAACAUCUUUUGCUGGACUGCCAGAGAUCACCUCAAAGUCCACUACAAUCCUGAACUAUACCAAGCUUCAUCCCCAGGAUACUGUGCUGACCUGCUUAUCCCUAGACUUCUGUUUAAUUAUCUGAAAGUACACAAGAAAGCAGAGUCCAGUUUGAACCCGGAUGAUGUCUCAGCAAUUUCUCCUCCCAGCACAUACUAUUUCAACAGCCAGUGAUCACUGGAGUUAAAGUGCACACAAGCAGCUGAAUAGGAUGCAAUUCUUAUUCUUAUGAUGAAUAUCAGGGUCAGAG
rnacentral:lncRNA from 1 species